GACUAGGAGAAGCCGACUGCGAUGGCACCAGAAGGUGUUUACGCAAUGUGAUCUACCCAGUGCUCUGAAUGUAAACGUCAAGAAAUUCAACCAAGAGCGGGUAAACGACGGGUGUAACUAUGACACUCCUGCUGUACCCGGUUGCGGCCCCCCGUUCUGGGCGGACAUGGCAAC
rnacentral:ncRNA from 1 species